UACAGAGGGUGCGAGCGUUAAUCGGAAUUACUGGGCGUAAAGCGCGCGUAGGCGGCUUUGCAAGUCGGAUGUGAAAUCCCCAGGCUCAACUUGGGAACUGCAUCCGAUACUGGAUGGCUUGAAUUCGGGAGAGGGAUGCAGAAUUCCAGGUGUAGCGGUGAAAUGCGUAGAUAUCUGGAGGAAUACCGGUGGCGAAGGCGGCAUCCUGGACCGACAUUGACGCUGAGGAGCGAAAGCUAGGGGAGCAAACGGG
rnacentral:rRNA from 1 species